AAUCAACGCUGGCGGCGUGCCUCAGACAUGCAAGUCGAACGCGAAAGGUUCCUUCGGGAACCGAGUAGAGUGGCGCACGGGUGAGUAACACGUAGGUAAUUUGCCUUUGGGUGGGGAAUAACAGCCGGAAACGGCUGCUAAUACCGCAUAAUGCAGCGGCUCGACAUCGAGACAGUUGUUAAAGCGGGGGAUCGCAAGACCUCGCGCCUAAAGAGAAGCCUGCGGCAGAUUAGCUAGUUGGUAGGGUAAUGGCCUACCAAGGCGACGAUCUGUAACCGGCCUGAGAGGGCGGUCGGUCACACUGACACUGACAUACGGGUCAGACUCCUACGGGAGGCAGCAGUCGGG
rnacentral:rRNA from 1 species